rnacentral:rRNA from 2 species
UUUGAUCCUGGCUCAGGACGAACGCUGGCGGCACGCUUAACACAUGCAAGUCGAACGAGAGAAGAGAAGCUUGCUUUUCUGAUCUAGUGGCGGACGGGUGAGUAACACGUGAGCAAUCUGCCUUUCAGAGGGGGAUACCGAUUGGAAACGAUCGUUAAUACCGCAUAACAUAAUUGAACCGCAUGAUUUGAUUAUCAAAGAUUUAUCGCUGAAAGAUGAGCUCGCGUCUGAUUAGCUAGUUGGUAAGGUAACGGCUUACCAAGGCGACGAUCAGUAGCCGGACUGAGAGGUUGAUCGGCCACAUUGGGACUGAGACACGGCCCAGACUCCUACGGGAGGCAGCAGUGGGGAAUAUUGCACAAUGGAGGAAACUCUGAUGCAGCGAUGCCGCGUGAGGGAAGAAGGUUUUAGGAUUGUAAACCUCUGUCUUUGGGGACGAAAAAUGACGGUACCCAAGGAGGAAGCUCCGGCUAACUACGUGCCAGCAGCCGCGGUAAUACGUAGGGAGCGAGCGUUGUCCGGAAUUACUGGGUGUAAAGGGAGCGUAGGCGGGAUCGCAAGUCAGAUGUGAAAACUAUGGGCUUAACCCAUAAACUGCAUUUGAAACUGUGGUUCUUGAGUGAAGUAGAGGUAAGCGGAAUUCCCUAGUGUAGCGGUGAAAUGCGUAGAUAUUAGGAGGAACAUCAGUGGCCGAAGGCGGCUUACUGGGCUUUUAACUGACGCUGAGGCUCGAAAGCGUGGGGGAGCAAACAA